GAAAGGAAGAAAAAUAAUUAUAUGUAUAUGAGGGUUAGGGUUUCAUUUGAGUUAGGAAAAAAGAAUUUCCUCUCUCUCUCAUUUACGUGCACGGAAACCCCCCUUGGAACUUUUUUUUUUCGCUCGGCUUCGCGCACUCAGACAAUUGACCACUGUCUAACUGUUGCCUUCAAUUGUUCUAGCUGCAUCGUUUCGCGUUCGCCAGAUCCAUCUGCACCACCCACCCGUCGCCCAAAUUGGCUACACCACUUGUGUGGACACCACCUUUCGUGUUUCUCAAGCCACCUGCCGCCGUCAAUCUGUCGUUCGUUGCCAGACAUCCUCGAUUUUCGUCGUCGAUUGACUGUGCGUCCAUCGAUCACCGACAUUUAGUUUUUCGCCGCUGUUUCCGCCGGAUCUUGGUUUUGGAGUAAGAUCUAAUUGAUUUUGUUGGGUUUCUUGGGUUAUGUUCGGGUAAUGACGGAAACAAGCCAACUAGUGAUAGACAGGACCCGUGACAGAGCCAAGGGACAAAAGAAAUCGUUUCUGCUUAGUCUAUGCCUUUAAUUAUUUGAAUGUUUUAAAAUUAGGAUUUAAUGUUAGAUAGAAUAUUUUAUUGUUUUUAAUGUUUUCUUUGUAAACAUUUCACGAGACCCUGAAUAUAUGUUUUGCUUAUUUAUUUCUAUUAAAUUUUAUAAAUUGAUUUAGAAUUUA